UGGGCUGGCCGAAAGGUCUUGGUCCACCCUCGGCGGGGAAGUCC
rnacentral:sRNA from 1 species